UGGCAAGGAUGCAAAGGAUGGGAAGCAAGGGAAGGACACCAAGGAGGGCAAGGAUGCAAAGGGAGGGGGAGAUGGCAAGGAUGCGAAAGAAGGGAACAAUGUUAAAGAUGAGAAAAGUUCUACUGCACCUACAUCUGCAACUACACCUACGCCUACUACAGCAGCAGCAGCUGCUCCCGAUAACCAACCUUCUUUGCCACUUAAAGAUGCUGCUGCCAAUGGUGCACCUGACUCAGCUAAAACAGAGACUCUUGUUGCUGCUGAGGUCGAGCAAUCUGCUGCAACUGAUCCAGCAGCCACUGAUUGAUGACACACCGCUCUUUUUAUUAUUAAUUUCUUGUCAUUCUUUGCAUAAUUUGUUUAAACCAUUUUUGCGAAGAAUAAGUGCAGCUCAGCUGGACGUUCUUAAGUCAGACCCGGGCUGUUGGACUUGCGAGCUUCUUCCCAACUACUAUAGGAUUUUCUAGGCUCUAUUGAAUUCUGUUCUUUUAUUUUUUCCCUCUCACUAUCAUACCUUCAAGUUCUAUAUCUGUGUUCCUAGGCAGAGCCAUUAGCAAUUGAAUAUAGUAGGUGAAAUGGAGGAUAAACAGGAAAGAGGACCAAGAAUGAGCCACCAGGGCCCAAAAUCAGAACCAAGACGAAAGCAAACAACAAAAACAAAGCCCAAGGCAGGUAACCAACAAGCAACAACUGAGAAACUAGUUGUGGAACCACUGAACUCAAAAUCUAUGCUAGUCACCUGAUAUGAUUGUUGUCAUCAAUUUUGUACAUAAAGAGCAGAUGGUCUACAUUCGGUAUAAGUUCUCUGCAUCGCCUGACAUUAAUUGUUGGCAUUAUUAUUAUUUAUGAAUUUAAUAAAAAAGAGAAUGUUAA
rnacentral:misc_RNA from 1 species